rnacentral:tRNA from 1 species
UAGGGUAUAAUGUAAUUUGGUAACUUAUUUGCUUUGGGUGCGAAAACUAUAGGUUCAAGUCCUAUUACCCUAA